GCCGAACGCUGGCGGCGUGCUUAACACAUGCAAGUCGAACGAAGUGGCGAACGGGUGAGUCACGCGUAGUCAACCUGCCCUUCAGAGGGGGAUAACAGUUGGAAUCGACUGCUAAUACCGCAUCCUGAUGGCGGGGCUUGCGUCUGAUUAGCUAGUUGGGGGGGUAACGGCCCACCAAGGCGAGGAUCAGUAGCCGGUCUGAGAGUAUGAACGGCCACAGUGGGACUGAGACACGGCCCAGACUACUACGGGAGGCAGCAGUGGGGAAUCUUCCGCAAUGGACGAAAGUCGGACGGAGCAACGCCGCGUGAAUGAUGACGGCCGUCGGGUUGUAAAGCUCUGUUAAUCGGGACGCGGUACCGGAAUAGAAAGCCACGGCUAACUACGUGCCAGCAGCCGCGGUAAUUC
rnacentral:rRNA from 1 species